AAGAAUCACAAAUGAUUUAAUUACAAACACACAUAUUCGUGCAUGCAUGUGUUUAUGCCUUCUUCAUAUGCUCUCACAAAAGUACUAGACAAAUGAUUGGGCCAAUGAAAUAUUAUGUCACAUGCCUUCUUAAGUUCUUAUGCCCUUAACUAUGCCAUUCUAGUAGCCAAGCAUUGAGUGGCUGCCUCACAAUGCAAGAGGUUAAGAGUUUAAACCCUAACACUCUCUCUCCUCUUUAUUAAAAGUUACAAAUGUACCGAAAAAAGACCCUCAACUGCAAACAAGUAAAACCUAGAUCAAUACAAAUUAGAGUGAUUUUAAGCAAAACAAUCCAUUCAAAACGUG
rnacentral:misc_RNA from 1 species